rnacentral:rRNA from 1 species
GAUCCUGGCUCAGGAUGAACGCUGGCGGCGUGCCUAACACAUGCAAGUCGAGCGAUUUACUUCGGUAAAGAGCGGCGGACGGGUGAGUAACGCGUGGGUAACCUGCCCUAUACACACGGAUAACAUACCGAAAGGUAUGCUAAUACGAGAUAAUAUAAGAAAUUCGCAUGGAUUUCUUAUCAAAGCUUUUGCGGUAUAGGAUGGACCCGCGUCUGAUUAGCUAGUUGGUAAGGUAACGGCUUACCAAGGCGACG